rnacentral:lncRNA from 1 species
CAGAGGCAGGACUGGGGCGGGGCUUGAUCGGCUUUGUAGCAAAAGGCUACCUGAACCGGUGCUCCUCCUACGCCGUACCGUCACGGGUCAUCUCAGGCAGUGGCCGGUCCUCAUCGAUGCCCAGGCAGGAGUCUAGCGCUCCGGGGAUCACAUGGAGCGCUAAUCCGGUUAAAGAGGCUCUCAGCCUGCCUCUAGUGGUGAAGUGGGGGGAGUAG